rnacentral:rRNA from 1 species
CCUACGGUGGCAGCAGUGGGGAAUAUUGGACAAUGGGCGAAAGCCUGAUCCAGCCAUGCCGCGUGUGUGAAGAAGGCCUUCGGGUUGUAAAGCACUUUCAGUGGGGAAGAAAGCCUUGGGGCUAAUACCCUCGAGGAAGGACAUCACCCACAGAAGAAGCACCGGCUAACUCCGUGCCAGCAGCCGCGGUAAUACGGAGGGUGCGAGCGUUAAUCGGAAUUACUGGGCGUAAAGCGCGCGUAGGCGGUCUGAUAAGCCGGUUGUGAAAGCCCCGGGCUCAACCUGGGAACGGCAUCCGGAACUGUCAGGCUAGAGUGCAGGAGAGGAAGGUAGAAUUCCCGGUGUAGCGGUGAAAUGCGUAGAGAUCGGGAGGAAUACCAGUGGCGAAGGCGGCCUUCUGGACUGACACUGAUGCUGAGGUGCGAAAGCGUGGGUAGCAAACAGGAUUAGAUACCCCUGUAGUC